rnacentral:misc_RNA from 1 species
AAACCACGGUUCUUAGACUAUACUACGGUAGCCUAAAUCGACUAACCAAUGAACAUUAAGGGCGCGAUUACGUCACGAGAGUUUAGUAAUUUGAAUCAUAAUAUGAUUAAUCGGUAUUUUUUGUAUGGAAAAUAGUAAAGAUAGUUAUGAAAUAAAGAUAUUUAGUGGAUUAUAAUACCUAAUUAUGAAAAACUUUUGAUUUUUGUGUGGUCUGGUACCCCUACCACAGUGGGAUAGAAAUCUUGAGCUUCCCUGGCCCCUUUCGCUUGGAGGUGCUGUGCUAGGUGCUAGUAGUCACAAACACGAAACACAUCAACAAGUCACGUUCGUAAGAGUUCGUUGCGCAUGAUUCAUUUUCCGUCAUUUUGUUUAUGAUUUUGUCCUGUUUUGUUUUUUUUUUUAAAUAGAGGUAAUUUUAUGACCAGUGAUAUGGCUAAGACAGAUAGACUAUUAUUGAAAUGGAACAACAUACAAUAAUAUGUAGAACAUGUUGUGUUGGUGGUUGUGCCUUCUCCACAUCGAUUACGUUUUCCAGAGAUGAAAUGGACAUGUUCUUGGAAGGGUUGAAACUUAUUCAAAGCAUUUUAAAGAAGAUUUUAGGAUACAUGAGAGUUCGAACAAGAGGAAUUACCAAAGGGGCCAUCCCAAGCUCAUUUUUACCACCACUAGGAAUAUGCAAAAGACCUAUGCAUGAGUUAAAAGAAAUGACCAGAGACAGAGAUCUUUUUAGACAGACAAUAUAUGAUAUCACGUCGACCACUACACUCCCUCCUGGGGGUCAGGAUUGAAGAGAGAGAUUAUCAGGAUGAAAAGGCUACUGAAGAAUCUCAAUUUAUUGACAUGCAUGGUCAGAGUCAAUAGAUGCCUAGGCUCAAAAUGGGACCCAUUUCCAUUGAGUAUAACGUGGAUCCCUGCACAAGGAUAUACGUGAAGACCAGAAUGGUAGCAGUCACGUAUAAAAUAUAUCUAUGAUAUGAUACUUCUGUAAUUCCAUACAAAUUUUGAUUGCUCAAGUAAUUUUAUAAAGUAAUUUACAGAAAUAAAUAACUUUUUAAGAA